rnacentral:tmRNA from 1 species
GGGGAUGACUUGAUUCGACGAGAUACGUUCUUUAAUAACUGCAAGCCGACGCCGAUACAUUGUCGUAAAACUGUGUCAAAAAAUAAAUGCUACGGAUACAAUCCAAAGCGUCCGUCAAUUUGUCGCAAGACAAGUAGAUGGGAUUAGUUCUGGGUUCCAACCAGCUUUCUUAGCUGCUUAAGACCUUAGUCUGAUCUAUUCAAGCAAGCUUUUCUCAACGGGCGAACUUGGAUAUCUAUACAGUUGAGUCAAGGAUCACAUCUUGUUUUGUGUGACACCAGAUCUUUAAAACAUAGACUUUCUUAUACCUGUUGAUAGGCCACGGGAAAGCGACUCAAAAAGUAUCAAAUAUGCUUGUAGACGUUCUUAUUUAACUUUUUCGGACUCCGGGUCACGCCCGGACAUCUCCACUA